GAGGAAUAUUGGUCAAUGGGCGCAAGCCUGAACCAGUCACGUCGCGUGAAGGAAGACGGCCCUACGGGUUGUAAACUUCUUUUGUAAGGGAAUAAAGUGUAGUACGUGUACUAUUUUGCAUGUACCUUACGAAUAAGGAUCGGCUAACUCCGUGCCAGCAGCCGCGGUAAUACGGAGGAUCCGAGCGUUAUCCGGAUUUAUUGGGUUUAAAGGGUGCGCAGGCGGGAGAUUAAGUCGGCGGUGAAAUUUUGCAGCUUAACUGUAAAAGUGCCUUCGAAACUGGUUUCCUUGAGUGUAGAUGAAGUAGGCGGAAUUUGUGGUGUAGCGGUGAAAUGCAUAGAUAUCACGAGGAACUCCGAUUGCGCAGGCAGCCUACUAAACUACUACUGACGCUCAGGCACGAAGGCGUGGGGAUCAAAC
rnacentral:rRNA from 1 species